rnacentral:rRNA from 1 species
CGGUAACAGGAAGCAGCUUGCUGUUUCGCUGACGAGUGGCGGACGGGUGAGUAAUGUCUGGGAAACUGCCUGAUGGAGGGGGAUAACUACUGGAAACGGUAGCUAAUACCGCAUAACGUCGCAAGACCAAAGAGGGGGACCUUCGGGCCUCUUGCCAUCGGAUGUGCCCAGAUGGGAUUAGCUAGUAGGUGGGGUAACGGCUCACCUAGGCGACGAUCCCUAGCUGGUCUGAGAGGAUGACCAGCCACACUGGAACUGAGACACGGUCCAGACUCCUACGGGAGGCAGCAGUGGGGAAUAUUGCACAAUGGGCGCAAGCCUGAUGCAGCCAUGCCGCGUGUAUGAAGAAGGCCUUCGGGUUGUAAAGUACUUUCAGCGGGGAGGAAGGGAGUAAAGUUAAUACCUUUGCUCAUUGACGUUACCCGCAGAAGAAGCACCGGUUAACUCCGUGCCAGCAGCCGCGGUAAUACGGAGGGUGCAAGCGUUAAUCGGAAUUACUGGGCGUAAAGCGCACGCAGGCGGUUUGUUAAGUCAGAUGUGAAAUCCCCGGGCUCAACCUGGGAACUGCAUCUGAUACUGGCAAGCUUGAGUCUCGUAGAGGGGGGUAGAAUUCCAGGUGUAGCGGUGAAAUGCGUAGAGAUCUGGAGGAAUACCGGUGGCGAAGGCGG